rnacentral:misc_RNA from 1 species
CCGGAGAACCCACGAUACGGCUGGUGGUGAUGGCGACCGUGCUGCUGAGCAUCGUCGCGCAUGGAUUGACCGCAGCGCCCGGGAUCGCCCUCUACGCGCGCACCACGCAGGCACUGCCUCCCGAUGCUCCCGAACAUGGGGCCGUCGACCCAGACCGCGCGCCGGUCGACAUGAGCCACUAGCCAGUAUCAGCGGCCGGAUUAGCUCAACGCGCCGCCUUGUCCCCCCACAGCGACUUCAGGCGCGCGUCGCGUCCGCAGUUGGUCCGGUAGAACUUGUAGCGGAUCGGAUUCUUCAGGUAGUAGUCCUGGUGAUAUUCCUCCGCCGGAUAGAACGUCCCGGCCAACGUGAUCUCGGUCACGAUGGGCUGCGAAAACGGCUUCGCCUUCUGCAGCGCCGCCUUUGAAGCCUCGGCCUCUUUGAGCUGCCGCUCGUUAAGCA